AAAUAAUCCAGAAAAAAUUAGAACAAUUAUAUAGUGAACUGUUAUGCUUUCACUAGAAAGAUUUCGCCUUUAUGCCCUUUAUUUUUUCUAAAUUUAUUUCUUGCUUGAAACUGCAGUAUGUUAGCUCACUGCUAGAAACAAAGGUUUCCACUAUAAAUCAAUGAGAAAUUUGUGUUGUAAAACAUGAUUUUCCCACCAAUUUACCAUCAAAUCAGCUACCCAGCUCACUGAAAAAUAGCUAUCUGGCGUCAAAAAUGUCACUCUUUUGUCCUAUAAGCAGUUAAGAAUUGCAACAGAUGAAUUUAGUCCUGUGAAUAAAAUUGGAGAGGGUGGAUUUGGUUCUGUUUAUAAGUGUGUAAAUGAAGCAUUCCCAAUCCCGCAAAGGAACAAUCUUGCUAAAGCAGGUGAAAGCAAAGUUGUUGCAGGAGCAAGGGUUUAGAGAAGAAAGCAUUACCGGUGAAACAUACUUUAACAAGGUACGAGAGUAAAGAUGCCACAAUCAUGGAAAGAAGUCCAGUCAAUGAUGAAUGUACAACAACCACUACAAUGUGCCCAGUAUAAUUCCACAAAGCGGGCCUGGGAAGGGUAAAGUGUUGCGUCCUCAGUCACUGAUGAAAGUUUUCUAUUAAAAUUUCAAUAUAUGAUUCAAUGAACGAAGAGUUUAUAAAACUGCUCCCAGGUACAUUAGGCACCAGGUUGGUUAUGUUAUCCUUUAAAUAACUUGUGUCCUCCAACUUUUACAUACUUCUUUACAUCAAGUUAUGUUUAUCGAAUAUACUAUUCCUUCCUGUUCUUUUAAGUUGGACAUAUGCUUAUGAUUGCUCAUGUUAUAAAGCUUUUGAUAGUUCUGUUACAUUAGCGUGGAUAGCUACACAAAGUAUGUCCUUGAAAAAUAAAAUGUUCUUCCUUCCAAAUGUAUCUCAAUUUUUUUAAGACUCCAUGUGGAUUGAAAAAUUAGAGAUACAAAAAAUGGGCAGCGUGGUGCACCAACUCCCGCUAUGCGAAGGGUUUAGGAAAUGGCCGGACCACAAGGAUAUAUUGUAGAACACAUUCAGAAAAUAAGAUUGUAGAACACAUUCAGAAACUAAGAACAUUUUGUUCUUCCAGAUAUAUCUACAAUGAGAUUAUCUUUUCUAAUUCAUGCUCUCAAUUGUACUACUUUGAACUUGCAUUAGUAUAUAGACUUGCUACCAGCUGUUUCAAAAUAUAUUUUACCACUAAAGAUUAAAAGAGUGAUGAAUUAGUUUGAGAUGCAAUUCCUAUUUUGGGAAAAGUGAGCAAGAAGUAAUUGACAUGUCUCUUCCAACUAAUUCACAUUAAUCUAAAUAUUCACACACGGACGUGUCCUUUCAUUUUAUUCUUCAUCCCUCUGCUUCUGUUUCUCCACUAUCAUUCUUUCCACAUUCUUGCUUGAGCUCUCCCUUCUAUCUCACCUCUCUUUCACUUCUGUUGUUGUCAUCUUCAUGAAAGAGGGUUGAAAAUGCAAGACAAUUCAGUGUAAGAAGGAAUCGAAGAGAGGCCAUCAAUUACAGCACGGAAGUUGCAAGGAUAUGGAUGCAAAAGCAUACCAAUAACUUGUAUUGAGUAAUCUCUUAUUUAUUUUAUUCAGUGUUCAAUCUGGAACGGUGAGCAAUUACCCAUCAUGUAAUGGAAUAAGUGAAUCAAGAUAUAAUUAGUCUUACCCGUAAGACAAAUAUUAGAAUACAUGAAUCAAGAAUUAUCAAGAAGGCAGGCUUCUAAAGCACUUCCCUUACUUCGGAAUUUCCCUCCCCGAAAAGUCACUUGUAUGUAAAACAGUAUGCCACAUCUUAUUGAGGUAAUGAUAUUGACUGAAUUUAAAUUACUUUAAAUGACUCUGUAUCAGCAUUUUGACAACCUUUGCAUCUCUAGGUAUUAUUAAAAAGGUCAGUUCUACAUGCAUUUAAGGGGUUCACGGGUCAAUUUGCUUCAAUUGCAGUACAUUUGGUGCUGUUCCUUGUAAUGUCUGGAGACACUCUUAGUGCAACAGGCAGUUUUGGAGGCAAUGUGACUGUUUCAUUAUGAUUAGAUGCGUUGUGGGGGAUGUACUUGCACCAUUGGGUGAUCUAUCGAAUCUUUCUAAUGCUUUUAGUACAGAUGUCCGUGUCAACUGAUUCUACAUGAACUGUGAUGAAAAUGAAGAGGUAUGCAUAUUCAAACUAUGUAAGGUACUCACACCUAUGGCUUACCUUUUACAAGCUGACAAUGAGAUUCCAUUUCCUUUUUCCCUGCUUCACCUUAACGGAAAGAAAGUACUGAGAAAAAUCAUAAGUGUGAAUGAUCCCUUAAUGUACAGAGGUAUCACAAUAAUCUCUUUUUUCACCAAAACUAUUAUUUUCUAAAACGGAAAGGAACUACUGCAGAGAUCAUAAUUGUAAAUGAUCCCUUUAGGUGUAGUGGCAUCACCAUAAUCUCCUUUCCACCAAUUUUUUUAUUUUUUUUAUUUUAUGAGUUUCAAAUUUGGCGUUGCUGAAAACAAAAGUUAUGGUGAAAAAAUUGAAAUCUUUAACUUAACGAGAAUCCUAUGUUUUAUAAGUUCUCAUUAUUUCUACUACUGUUCUGAUUUUUUUCCUCCUUAAUUCUUAAAUACAGAUUAUUACUAGCUCCUGAUUUGCAGUCGGUUAUUCUUUAUGAUAAACAAGGUAAUUAAGUGAAGUUAAGACAGCCAAACUCGUAUCUUUUAAUUGAGAUUCAUGAUUUGCAGGCUGCAGCAGCAUAGCCAACAUAUGAAACUUGAGUGUGUGUGUGUGUGAGAGAGUGAGAGAAAGAGGCACUGCAAGAUUUAUAUCAAGUGAACUUUUUAUAGCGGGUGUUGAAGAGAAUGCUAGGAAAGGCAUUAUCUUCAAGAAAGUGAAAACAACUUAACACAGAAACUUCCUUGAUAUUGAAAGCUUGGCCUUUUAUAGGUCUUCAGUUUCUUCAGAUGUAUUCAAUAAACGGUUUGCAAUUUUGGUAUUGGAAGUGAAUCUCCUACUCAUAUGUAUACAGUAUAUAGUCAUAGUUGUUGAACACUUAUCCUAUUUUUGUUUUGAUUAGUACCUGAUGAUGAUUUUCUUUAAA